CUCAGCGCCAGCCGCCAAACCCACCGAGGCCGGCGCCAUCUUGGGAGUGACGGAAAAGGCAAGGAGGCGGGGGCUGUGGCCUCGAAGACCAAUCACAGGCCGAGUCUGACCCGAGGGGCAGGAGAAGGCCGGCUAAAGGGUCCCAGCCUGCUAGAGAGAGCUUGGUGCUGCAGUCUGAGCUGAGAACCACCCACCAAAGCCACUCGCGUUCUGCAGGAAACCCCCUGAGCGGUUAGCAACCACCAGUAGCUUUCAGUCCCAAGACAGAAGGUCCACCACAUGCAUGCAGUGCCUGAGGAAACCAAACAAAGACUGUGAUCUUUUAACUUGGUUGGACACUUCCUCCUGGCUGCCAAUGUCAUCACAGUGUUUUUACCCCCAUGUGAGGACAUGGCUCUCUGCCAAUCGAUGCUUCCUAGAGAGUCCGUAUCAUAAAGGGGUACAAGUAAACUUCGGGGGGAAGAUGGAAUUGUCACUGUCUUGAUUGCAUUGAUGGUCAUAGGUACAUACAUAGGUCAGAGUUAUUAAGUUGCACCUCUAAAUAUCUGUAUCCUUUAGACUUCAAUAGCACCACUUAAAAGCUUUUACUUUUUUACAUUUUCUUCUAAGACAAGGCCACUAUGUAGCCCAAGCUGGUGUCAAACCCACCGCAAGUCUCCUGCCUCCGCCUUCCAAGUGCUGGGAUUACAUGCUUGUGCUAUCACACCCAGUGUGUUGUGAUCAACCCCGAGAGUGAUGCAUGCUAGGCAAGCACUCUAGCAACUGAGCAAUAUUCCCUGCUUCAACAAACAAAAACAAACUUUCUAAAGGUUCAGCUGGUAACUCCUGUUCUUUUUCCAUUGUCCGUAGAGUUAGCCACUAAUUGGUUUGAUUGUUGUGAAACAUACCCAGUCAGUUCCCCUUUAAAGGGUAUCUUAGCAUAUUAUAUUAUCAGCAGUACAAAGCACGUUCAGUUGAGAAAUAGAUAUAUUCAUCCACAUUAUAGAGUUCUAGUUAAAAUAUAAACAUAUAGUUGCAAGAAGAGCUUGUGGCAUGGGACUCUUUAAAAGUUUCAAAAGUUGGGGUAAAGCGAGACUUCAGUCGUUAAAGUGCUUACCGUGAGAGAAUGAGACCCGAGUUCAACCCCCAGGACCCACGUUUAAAAAUCUGGACAUGGUGGCUGUGCUAGUUUUUGCCAACUUGACACGAGCUAGAGUCGUCUGAAAAGAGGGAAUCUCAAUUGAGAAAAUGCCUGAAUCAGAUUGGCCUGUAGGCAAAAGUGUAUGGCACAGUCUUGAUUACUGGGCAGAUGUUCUUAGGUUUAAUAAGAAAGCAGCUGAGUGAACCAUGGAAGGGAAUCUAAUAAGCAGCCUUCCUCCAUGGUUCUACUUCAGUUCCUGCCUCCAGGUUCCUUCUUGAGCUCCUGUCCUGACUUUCCUCAGUGAUGAACUCUGAUGUGGCAGUAUAAGAUGAAAUACUCUC